CUUGAGAUGUGGCAAUUUUUGUCUUUCAAGCCAAUAAGAUGAGAAAUUAAAUUGAAAAAAGGAUCAUAGAGUACUUAAAGACUUGAAGAGGAAUUUUAAUACUGUGGUGUGUAUUAUUCCAUUGUUGUAACUAUUUGAUGCUGUUUAUUCUCUUUGGUUGUAUCCUUGAUGAUAUUGUAUAAGUACAUGUUUGUUUGUAUUUUCUUGUGUUGUGAAUCUAUGUACAUUUUGCUAUUAAGGUUAAUGUUGAGUACUUGCUUGUUCCUAGCUGGUUCUUGUAUUAAUGAUGGUUUAUUUUGUGAUGUUCUCUCCUCUACAAAUCUUGAUGGCCUUAUUAAUAUACUAGUGGCUAAUGACUUGUCCUUUUGCAUUACUCU
rnacentral:lncRNA from 1 species